rnacentral:misc_RNA from 1 species
GACGGAGAGAAAGAGAUUCCUCUUCAAAAUUCUAGGAAAGAUUGCAUUGACAAUUUGACAUGCCUUGACAAUAAAGGCAUGCAUUUAAAUCAGGUUGCUCGCCUUUCAAUGAAUGAGGCACUAAGGCCUUGCAUGCCUUUAGUGAAUAUGCAAAAGACAAAAUCCAAAAAAAUGCAGGAUCAGACUAAAUAUGCUAAUAAAUUUAUAGACUCAAGGAAAACAAACUUCCAAACUGCUAGAAUACAUUACAAACCCUUUCACACAACUCGUGC